UAAGGUAGCAAAUUUCCUUGUCGUCCAAAUAACGACCUGCAUGAAAGAUUUCACGAUUCGAUAGCUGUCUUGCAUUUAUGUGGUGGUAAAAUCUUAGGUAGUGUGAAGAUACCCUAACAACGUUAUAGGACAAAAAGACCCUAUGAACCUUUAUAGGGAUAAAAUCUUCAACAGCUUCUACGUCCAUCUUCAUUUCAUGGCCUACAACCAUACAAAACCAUUCAUUGAGAAUACAACAAAUAUGUUCACAGCUUCAACUUUUAGAUGGGCUGUUUAAUUGGGGCGAUAACCUUCUUGAAUCAAACAUUCGGUGAACAAAGCUAUUCAUAUGUGCUUUCAUAAAGCACUAGUAAGUACAAAGAUAGAUGCCAAGCUUAAUGGUCAAGCAAAGUUUGAUCCAGCUCAUAUGAGGUGUCUUCAUGACCUUAAAAUUAAUCUACCAAAUAAAAGCUACUCAAGGGAUAACAGGCUUAAUUAAAAUUAGAGCUCACAUUAAACUUAGGGUUUGGCACCUCGAUGUCGGCUUAUCUUUUCAAAAAUCUGUACUAAGCUUACUGGUGGGAGUGCUCAUCCCAUAACAAGGU
rnacentral:rRNA from 1 species